CCUGAACGCUGGCGGCGUGGCUAAGACAUGCAAGUCGCACGGUGUAGCAAUACACAGUGGCGAACGGGUGAGUAAUGAAUCGCUAAUGUACCCCGACUCUGGGAGUAGCUAGCCGAAAGGUUAAGGGUAAUAACCAGAUGAUAUACUUCUAUCGCAUGAUAGAAGUACUCAAAGGUACCGCCGGUCUGGAGGCAGGCGAUUUCGUUAUCAGCUAG
rnacentral:rRNA from 1 species